UGGAAUGGCUUACGAGACCAAC
rnacentral:miRNA from 1 species